rnacentral:rRNA from 2 species
GUGUAUGGAAUGUCAAAUUUCUAGUAUGAGAAAUUAACGAUUUAAGUCCUUCUUAAAUGAGGCCAUUUACCCAUAGAGGGUGCCAGGCCCGUAUAACGUUAAUGAUUACUAGAUGGCAUUUCCAAAGAGUCGUGUUGCUUGAUAGUGCAGCACUAAGUGGGUGGUAAACUCCAUCUAAAACUAAAUAUAACCAUGAGACCGAUAGUAAACAAGUACCGUGAGGGAAAGUUGAAAAGAACUCUGAAUAGAGAGUUAAAUAGUACGUGAAACUGCUUAGAGGUUAAGCCCGAUGAACCUGAAUAUCCAUUAUAGAAAAUUCAUCAUUAUGAUUUUAAUAUUUAUAAUAUUAUAAUAAUAGUGUGCAUUUUUUCUGUAACGGACAUUGUAAUCUAUUAACAUAUAUAUAUUUAUCAAAAGAUCAAUGAUGCGUAAGUUUAUUCAAAUUAUUUUGCUUGCAAUUUAACAUAGAAUAAAUGCUCUUGAUUUGAUAAAGUGUUGAUAGAUUUAUUGUAUAUAGUGCUUAAAUAUUUAUAUUUUAUAAUAGCAUAUUAAUCAUUGAUUUUUAUGUUUAUUAUAUGCACUUAUAUGAUUAACAAUGCGAAAGAUUCAGGAUACCUUCGGGACCCGUCUUGAAACACGG